rnacentral:misc_RNA from 1 species
UACAGGGGGGGCGAACGUUACUCGGAAUCACUGGGCAUAAAGGGCACGUAGGCGGUCCUGUAAGUCGGAUGUGAAAGACCCUGGCUCAACCAGGGAAGUGCAUCCGAUACUGCAGGGCUAGAGGCCGAGAGGGGUGAGUGGAACUCCUGGUGGAGCGGUGAAAUGCGUAGAUAUCAGGAGGAACACCGGUGGCGAAGGCGACUCACUGGCUCGGUUCUGACGCUGAGGUGCGAAAGCUAGGGUAGCGAACGGG